CUGAAAGGAAGAGGCUGGGUUCUUGAUGACAUUAUUGAGCUGCUGCAUAGUAACGUCAUCUAUGCCUAUUCUGGGCUACUUGUUGUAUGAGAAAAAUAAACCUCUCUCUGGACUUCUUAUGUGAGAAAAACAAACCACACUUUGUUGAAGCCUCUGUUAGCUGAGUUUCAUGUUAUUGCAGCCCAUGGUGUGUCAGAGAGCCCAGAUGUUGAUGAUGUCAUCUGGCCUUCUGAAUACAGCUGUGCCUGAGACUAAACCCACACCCCUGAACUCUUCAGCUAUUAGAGACGGCACCUGGAGGGAUGUCUCAGGAGAAGAAACAUUUUCUAAUCGCUCAGUAUCACACAGGUUUCUCUCCAGAGACCUCAGCACAUCACCUCUCCAAGGGGAGAGAGGAGAGGCAUCCUUCAGCUCAUUUAUGCCUGUAUCGAUCGCUGCUGCCUCACCCUCAAUGUCGGUGGUUGCCAUCCGGUACCUGUUCCAUCUGAUUCCCAUGCAACUACGUUCUGGAAUUCCCUGAGCACUACUCCACCUGAAGAACAGCCCGUCUCUCUCUGGACAGUAAUGAGGUUUCCUUUCCAGUCUCACACUGGCCUUCCAUCCUUCAUCCCGCCGAACAUCCCCUGGCUACAUUCAUUUCUCUGUAUGCCCGGGUUUAUUCAGCUGUGUUCUCCUCUGCUUUGUGGGUGAUCUGUCACAGGAGACUGUCACAGCCCAGUUGGAAUUCACUCUAUCUUUCCCUCUGCCCUAUUCGCUGAGCAAACAUGACAUGUGCAGUAGGCAUUUCAGCAGUGGAAAUUCUCUGACCCCCUUUGCUCUUGCCUAAAACAGAAACCUCAGUGGCUUUGCAGAAAAUAUUCCACAAUCUCCUGCAACCUAAAUUUGAUAGCUAUUUGUUGAAUACAUGUGAUAUACCUCUUGCUGUUGUGCCCUCAAGAAGCUUAUGAUGCUGUUGGUGAAAUAAAACAGACACAUGUAAAACAAUUUGAAAACAGCAAAGCACAGUAUACCAUCAGUGUUAUCAUUAGGUGCCAAAAUG
rnacentral:lncRNA from 10 species